rnacentral:rRNA from 1 species
AUUGAACGCUGGCGGCAUGCCUUACACAUGCAAGUCGAACGGUAACAGGUCUUCGGAUGCUGACGAGUGGCGAACGGGUGAGUAAUACAUCGGAACGUGCCUAGUAGUGGGGGAUAACUACUCGAAAGAGUGGCUAAUACCGCAUGAGAUCUACGGAUGAAAGCAGGGGAUCGCAAGACCUUGUGCUACUAGAGCGGCCGAUGGCAGAUUAGGUAGUUGGUGGGAUAAAAGCUUACCAAGCCGACGAUCUGUAGCUGGUCUGCGAGGACGAUCAGACACACUGGGACUGAAGCACGGACCAGACUCCUAAGGGAGGCAGCAGUGGGGAAUGUUGGACAAUGGGCGCAACCCUGAUCAAGCAAUGCCGCGUGCAGGAUGAAGGCCUUCGGGUUGUAAACUGCUUUUGUACGGAACGAAAAGCCCUGGGUUAAUACCCUGGGGUCAUGACGGUACCGUAAGAAUAAGCACCGGCUAACUACGUGCCAGCAGCCGCAGUAAGAC